CAUCUUUUUAUGAAUGAAGGCCAGUAUCACUGAUACUAAUACCCUACAGCUACUGAUAUCUCGAUGAAAUUGAUUAUAUUAUGCUGAUUUCACGUAGCCGUCAAUUUGAAAUCGAAAAUCAGGCUCUGGUAGGAAGAAACCCGGAAGUAUCACCUUGAAUCACAGGAGAGUUGCGAAUGCAAUGGCAUAUUGUUGUGUACCAGGCUCUACAAUGGAAAGAGAGUGAUAAAAUAUAUCCUUUCAUCGCUUUCCGAGUGACUCAAAAGCCUGUCGUGAGUGGAUUGUGAAAGUAAAAUGGGAUAUUGGACUUCAUUUUCAGAUUACAGACAACACAAGAGUGUGCGCCAAACAUUUCACUCACGACUGCAUUGUUCGUUCGCUCACGGGGUUGCAUAGACUGAAACGGGGAAGCGUGCCGACUUUGUUUACAUGGUGCGGUGAACUCAAGCCCAGGAGGACACUUCAGAGGAAUCAAGGGAACGCCUUUUAAGUUGGGAAAUGAAAAGCAGGUGCACCGCUGGAGCGCACACUCGAACGGCCUGUCCUCGCUGCCAUGAGUUUUCAAUUUUGAGGAGGAUGAAAGAGAAAUUCAUGCUGAAACAGCCAUGGGGGGAGAAGGUGAUAAAAUGUGUGAUUCUGCUUUUGUUUUCAGAAUGGCGGACGAUCAAAAACAAAGAGGCACAAAACACAAUGUCAGUGACAAGAAGCUACAAAAGAGCAUCAGAGAACUGUGUCGCCCAAGUCAAAUUCCUUGUGUGCAGUGCCAUGUCAGCAGUGCAGGCUGGAUGGGAUGUCAUUGUACAACAUGAGUAGAAAAUGAGAGCAGUGACUCAAUCAUUUUGGACAUUCACUCACAUGAGAUUGUUUUCUCCUCUUCGUCUCAACCUGCUCUGCCAGCUCCAUCUUCCUCUUGUUCCUCUUGUAGCCUGACAAACUGAACUCUGUAAUGUGUUGAAAAAGGCAUGACAGUCAAUAAUAGAUUUUACUCCACUGCUUUGACUUCCAAUAAAAAAUUAAAAAAAAACUUUGUGUGUAAGACCCACUAAAUGCUGACAAAUGUUUUGCUCCCGUGGCCUUAUUGCUUAGAUUAUUAGUAUUAUUUUUCAUGAUAAUAUAUUGCAGCAAAGGGUGUGUGUUUGGCGGGGGAGCCUUUAUUCUCACAAUAAAUCAGUCUAUUGGUGGAAAUGUGGUUGAAAUCCUCAAAGUCUCCCUAAAUAAUGGGACAUGUGUUGGAGUGAGGUCAUGGUUUUGGCAUCAGAUCAUUUCCAACACUGACAACACACACUCUAUCUCUGUCUGACACACGGCAUGGGGCCCUCUAUUAAAGUAUAGAAGCCAUUGUUUACCAAACACUGCAUUCCACUCCUGUGAAAAUCUCUUAAUCAAAGAAAUGGGCACAAUUAAGUCAUUUUGCAGAAUUUAAUGGAAUGCAAUUAGGGCUGGUAAAAAUAACACUUGGUCAAUGGCUUAAAAAUACUCCAACAGAUGAGAUCACAUGCCUUCUUGCCAAUCAUUAAUCAAUGAAAUUAUUACGUGUGACUGUCAAGACUUACAACUGAGAUAAAAGGCAGUGGUUUUGGUAAAAACCUCAAUAACAGAUUCCUCAUCUAGUAUACUUCAAUAAAACUGUAAAUAACCUGGGGGAAUUCAGUUAAAGGACAAUAAGAACUAGGCUAAAUUCUCAUUCCCUGAAAGAAAUACAAGUGCUUUCAAGGCACUGUUGAAAUAAAAUGCUGCAUCAGAGCCACUUUGUAAAUGCCACUGACAACUAGUGAGAGUCUUGUUUGCCUUUCGGUUUCACUCAAUAACCAACAUGCAGCUAAAUGGUAAAAUAUAUAGAAUGAAUACGGACGAUCACAAUUCAGCAUGGAAACUAGAGUCUAAAAGAAUUACAUCAUUGCUGCUGGUCACAAUUUGAAUGCUGAACAAUUACGUCAAUGGCAGAGUUUUUAAAACCUUAAUCUUAUACAUUCAAGUAUAAAAUGAACACAAAACCAAAAUAGAUAGCAUAAAAUUAAAAGGUUCGGGUUGAACUUAAGUUUAGAAAAAAACAUUAUUGUGCAAAAAUAAAUUCCAGUUUCAGUCUAAAUCAAUUUCUAUCCUUGAGAAGUUCGUUCCUCCAUAUAUACCUCACUACGCAACCACUGUCCUCCUGCAGCAAUCAAGUUUCAGUCAUUAUCUGGAAAUGCAAUGCAACAAUAACGUUUCAUUUACAUUUAGCACUUUUAUUUUUAAAAGUGCUAAAUGCCACACACACUAGCAAAUGUCUCACUAGUAUAAAGACAUGGUAUAAACAAAUUUCUUUUAAAGUAAUAAUUCAUUAUUUAGAAUAAUAUGAACACUAAUAACUGAUUACAGAUAAAAAUCAUUGCGAAAGUGGUGUGUAACAGGUUAAAACUCCACUGCAGGCCUCAAACAAAACCUCAUUGCAUUAUAUGAGAGAAUAAAACCGCAAGCUCUUCUAUUAAAGUAAUCUGGAUGCCAGUCACACCUUACAGAUCCAAACAGGGAAUCUUGUUGCUUACUUGAGACCUUUCAUUUCACUUAAAAACGGCCUCUACUGUGUUUCUUAAAAGAGAAAUUUACUGAAAAUAUAUGAGCCUUUUAACAUUUUACCUCCUGUUUUCCCCUAAUUAUGGAAAAUAACGGGAUUUAAAGUCACUUUCCAAUUUCUAAUUGAACUUUUUAGCUUCUUUCACCAAUAAGAGUGAUUAUGUGGUUCACAAUCUUCAGUAAUCCAAAGACGUGUCCUAAUCUUUAUUAAUACAUACAAAUCUAAUAAAAACACUGCGGUCAAAGCAGCUGAAAGAAGAGUCUGGGUGGUCUGAU